GCCGUCUUCACAACUUGGAGACAAAUUGCGCUACGAACCGGAGCAAGGACUAACCUCACCUCAUAACGAGGCCGUGACCUCCUAUUUGCUCGGAGCUAUGUCCGCAAGUCCAGAUUUACGUGACGCUGAUAGUGACGUCAUUGUGUCUGCCUGUAAGACGUACUAUGAGACAGUACGCAGGAGCUUCAGGUACAGACAGCCAGAUCUCGCAUCGCAGGCGGAAGCUGUGAAGACUUCAACUCGGAGUCGAUCGAGAAGAAAGAGGGUAAC